rnacentral:RNase_P_RNA from 1 species
UGAGAAAGAUGGACGGCCGCUGAAAUAUUUGGUUUCAGAGGAAAGUCCGAGCUCUCUCGGAAGGAUGCCCGUUAACUGCGGGGCGGGGUGACCCGACGGAUAGUGCCACAGAAAUAUACCGCUGUUUUUACAGUAAGGGUGAAAAGGUGAGGUAAGAGCUCACCGCAAAAAUGGUAACAUUUUUGGCAUAGGUAAACCCCAUCUGGAGCAAGGCCUAAUAGAGGUAAUUAAGGUCCGAGCCUUACCUGGGUUGGCCGCUUGACUAUUUCGGUAACGAAGUAGCUAGAUAGAUGGUCGUCACUUCAUUUAUGGAGUACAGAACUCGGCUUACAAUCCUUCUCAGCCU